GACGAACGCUGGCGGCGUGCUUAACACAUGCAAGUCGAACGGUAAGGCUCCAGCUUGCUGGGGUUCACGAGUGGCGAACGGGUGAGUAACACGUGGGUGACCUGCCCUGCACUUCGGGAUAAGCCUGGGAAACUGGGUCUAAUACCGGAUAGGACCGCACCGUGAGGGUGUGGUGGAAGGUUUUUUCGGUGUGGGAUGGGCCCGCGGCCUAUCAGCUUGUUGGUGGGGUAAUGGCCUACCAAGGCGGCGACGGGUAGCCGGCCUGAGAGGGUGGACGGCCACAUUGGGACUGAGACACGGCCCAGACUCCUACGGGAGGCAGCAGUGGGGAAUAUUGCACAAUGGGCGGAAGCCUGAUGCAGCGACGCCGCGUGGGGGAUGACGGCCUUCGGGUUGUAAACUCCUUUCACCAUCGACGAAGGGUUUCUGACGGUAGAUGGAGAAGAAGCACCGGCUAACUACGUG
rnacentral:rRNA from 1 species